UGUGUGUUUCUACCCUUAGACUUAGCUGAAGAAGUGUCUUUAGAAUAAAUCUCUUGACAUUUAUUUUGGUCCUUCGUAGCCGGGGCAGAAACAUCAGAACUGUUAUCUGUGACUCUGUUCCAGGAUCCAGCACUGAUUCCUGACGCCGUGGGAGCCAGCACCGAAGUCUGUGCACAGCCCUCUUAGACGAGGCCGAAAGCCCUGGAACGUUUAAAUUCGGGUCCAGGCCGGUGUUUUUAGUCUGGUCCACGGCGGUGGGAUUCAGUCUGACGAUCCGAACCACCAGUGAGACGUCUGAGGGUGAGAAACACUAUUUUUGAUAUAUAAAACGGCCGCGAAGGUUUUAAGAAACGCGUAAAAUAAAAUGAUAAAAUAGGUUAAGUUCGCCAAAAGGCCAAAAAGAACUAAGUUUAGACCAGUUUCAGAGGUAGCUGUUAAAUACUUCGUGACAAAUUAGCGCGCAAAUGUCUAUCUGUGUGUAUGUGUGUAUGUGUCUAGAAGUAAGUUGAUUUUACAGCACAAUACGCUGCUGAACUACUUCUAUUUUAUUUGUUUUCUUUGCUGAGGCUCACGUACUGGUGACAAAUGAGAACGGUUGAGUUUUAUCUCGUAAAACUGAUACCGCUUCAUUUUUUAGAAGUGAAGUAGAAGGGCGUAUCAGCAACCACUCUGAAGUCAAGCGUGCCAGUGACAGCCCAGCAAAAUCUUUGACAAUGGGGAAUAAACAAGCAAAAUUAACACCUGAUGAGGAAUGUUUAGAAAAACAACAAACCAAACAAUAAUCCAAAAGAAAGGGAGAGGAAUGCACAGGGCAGGAGUAGGGGGUAGAGGCAGGCCUAGACACACACCAAGCAGUGGUUUUAGUACUACAUGCUGGAGGUGUGGAAAAGAGGGACAUUUUGUACGUGACUGUAAGAAACAAAGAAGCAGUUCAGACUAGGAAGAAUAUAAUAAUCCCUCGUCAAGUAAAAGAUUAGAGAUCAAAGUUUAAAAAGGGCUGGAUACAGACCCAA